rnacentral:rRNA from 1 species
GAGUUUGAUCUUGCUCAGAUUGAACGCUGGCGGCAGGCCUAACACAUGCAAGUCGAGCGGAUGACGGGAGCUUGCUCCUUGAUUCAGCGGCGGACGGGUGAGUAAUGCCUAGGAAUCUGCCUGGUAGUGGGGGACAACGUUUCGAAAGGAACGCUAAUACCGCAUACGUCCUACGGGAGAAAGCAGGGGACCUUCGGGCCUUGCGCUAUCAGAUGAGCCUAGGUCGGAUUAGCUAGUUGGUGGGGUAAUGGCUCACCAAGGCGACGAUCCGUAACUGGUCUGAGAGGAUGAUCAGUCACACUGGAACUGAGACACGGUCCAGACUCCUACGGGAGGCAGCAGUGGGGAAUUUUGGACAAUGGGGGCAACCCUGAUCCAGCCAUGCCGCGUGAGUGAAGAAGGCC